rnacentral:rRNA from 1 species
AUCCUGGCUCAGAUUGAACGCUGGCGGCAUGCUUUACACAUGCAAGUCGAACGGCAGCACGGACUUCGGGUCUGGUGGCGAGUGGCGAACGGGUGAGUAAUACAUCGGAACGUACCCAGUAAUGGGGGAUAACUAUCCGAAAGGAUAGCUAAUACCGCAUACGCCCUACGGGGGGAAAGAGGGGGGAUCGCAAGACCUCUUGUUAUUGGAGCGGCCGAUGGCUGAUUAGCUAGUUGGUGAGGUAAAGGCUCACCAAGGCGACGAUCAGUAGCGGGUCUUAGAGGACGAUCCGCCACACUGGAACUGAGACACGGUCCAGACUCCUACGGGAGGCAGCAGUGGGGAAUCUUGGACAAUGGGCGCAAGCCUGAUCCAGCAAUGCCGCGUGCGUGAAGAAGGCCUUCGGGUUGUAAAGCGCUUUUGUCAGGGAGCAAAAGGUGGUGGCUAAUAUCCAUCGCUCUUGAGAGUACCUGAAGAAUAAGGACCGGCUAACUACGUG